GGCACAGGCUCCUAAAGUCCUUAGAAUCUCCCGAGUGAUGAGAAUGGAUAUCGCAUGCUAGUGAGAUGAGCUGGUGGGAGGUGGGAGUGGGGACCCCCAAGAUAGCUCCAGGAUGAGGGCUGGUGGCCAGAUAGACCACGGGCAUGAUCACAGAGUUGGCAGUUUCAGCCCCAACCCCAGGAGAGAAAGAAGAGCUGGAGACUGAGUUAUCACACCAACAACCACUGAUUCACUCAGUCCUGCCUACAUAAUGGAACCUCCAUAAAAACCCAUAGUCACACAGAGAGAGAGAGAGAGAGGCGGAGACAUAGGCAGAGGGAAAAGCAGCCUCCGUGCACCGGGAGCCCGACGUGGGAUUCGAUCCCAGGUCUCCAGGAUCGCGCCCUGGGCCAAAGGCAGGCGCCAAACCGCUGCGCCACCCAGGGAUCCCGAUCUUCAGUGUUUUCACCACCAAAACAAAGGUGACUGAGGAGCUCACUUGUGCACAUGCAUCUCAUUCCUACUGGAACAGUCGAAACGCGGCACGAAGCUAGCUCAACUGUCUGUGUCUAAUUUUUUGAGACCUGAGCAUUCGUCUAACAUGGUCUACCUUCGGCUACUGAUGAAUCUGUAGCAAGGAAUUUGCCAGAGAAGUCCUUUCAAAACUGAAUGUUUUCACCACACAUAACUCAAGAGAAAAUCUUCAUUUUUUCUUAUGGGUUAUCUUAUUUUCUUGAUGGUGUCCUUUGGAACACAGAGGUUCUCAAUUUUGAUAAAGUCGACUGAAGAAUUCUAUAGAACAUGCCUCAAAAUCUUCCUCCUGAAAGAGAAUGAAGUUGGGUGGUCCCCGGGGGCAUUACACUGCCAGCACACCUAACUCUGGAGAAAGACCCGAAGCUGCACAGCUGAGAUGAGCCGUGAACUGUCCAGCACCGCGGUGCUGAAAUCAGCUGGACCCAGACGUGAUGGGGGGGGACACCCACAGCCUCUACCAAAAAGCAUGUCCAGAGCAAGACCUCAGAGCAGUCUUGAAAAUAAGCAAAGAACUUGCCAAGUGGACCCAAGAGAAAGAUUAUUCCAGAUGUAAACAGCAUUUGCAAAAAUGUAGAAGCAGAAGACAGACCAGGCGCGUUUAACGGACUGCAGUUAGCUGAAUCCAGAAGAAAAGUGGCUUGUAUUAAAGUGAUAGCAGCACUAAUGGAAAGAAGUGACCACUUUGAGGAUGGCUGCAGAUACAGUCUACAAGACCUAAAGAAAGACUGGAUGUGAGGGAUGAGGAGAAGGGAGGAAUCAAAGCAACUCCCAAGUUUGACUUGAGAAACCAGGUAGUUGAAGGUGGCAUUUACAGAGAUGGAGAAAAGUACAGAAAGACUAGUAUAAAAAACUGUAAUGUAAAACAGGUCUGCACUAAAAAUCAAGGAUGAGGAGUAGCAAAACAUAUGGUUAAAUUUCAGAAGCUUGUUUUUUAUUCUCUGACUAGAAUUGCUCUUGAUCAUUUUGAAUCUCCUUCCUGUGAUGUGUAAAAUGCCUUCCCUUGUUAUACAUUAAUUUUUAUGAAGUAAAGAGGAACAAUGGUAAAGGUCACUGCCUCCAAAGCCAUAUGGCUUGGGUUCAAGCCCAGCUCCAGCUCCUAUGAACCCUGAGCCCAGUUCCUCCUUAGGAAGAGAUGGAUAAUCAUGGUCUCUAACUUAGGGAGUUGUAAUGAAUCUUAAAAUGAGUAGAUAUUUUGCAUAUCUGAGGAACAACUGUUAAUGAGUAUAAGGCUUCUUUUCAGGGUGAUGAAAACAUAUUAUCUGAAAAUAGAUCAUAGUGAUGGUUGAACAAUCUUCUGAAUAUACUAAAACCACUCAAUUGUAUGCUUUAAAAGGGUGAAUUUUAUGGUUAUGACUUGUAUCUCAAAAAAGAAUCAUGAACAGGUCAGAACCAUGCUUGGCUAAGUGCUAAGGAAGUUUUAAUUAAAUGAAUUAAAAUAAAUUGAGAAAACCAUUAAACGAAAAUUUUAGACUUAAAAAUCUUUAUCCUUGGAUUCCUCCAGCCUCCCACCACAGUGGAUUUUUCAGAGUCUACUUCACUUCUGCAGAGGCUUCGUCCCUUCCUCCUAACUGCACUUUCUAGAUGGCUCAUUUCCACCUCCAAAUUUCCCUCUUUCUGUUACAUAAAGAAAUAUCACCCCCCCUAAAAGUCCUCACCCCAAUUCAGCACCACACUCAUUUUUGUGUAUCCAAAUCAAGGACCAAAAUGCCUUCCAUUUAACAAGAUUCCAUCCUAAUU